UGGCCAUGCCGCCGACUGCUCGCUCGUCUCGCGCCACUGCUCGGCCGUCCUUGCGUCGUCGGCCUCGUCCACUGCUCUUAAGUCGUCAACGACUUCUUUCGCCUUACCUCUUCUCCAAACCUGCCGGCCUACCCUGCCUUCUCUCUCAUUUUCUUUCUUCUUCCAUCGGCCAAGAAAUAGAGACGAACCGAGCCAAGCUCCCUUGGACCGCCGGCCAAAUCCCCAGCCUCCGCUCCACCAUCUUCAAAUCGCCGCCUCCCACGGCUGCCUCACCUCCCUCUCUCUACCCCCUCGGCCACCACUUGCCGUCGCCGUAGCUCCUGGCGCCGGGGAUUCAAGAUCCCGCGGCAGCCAUUGCCGCGGGCCCAAACUCGGGCGCCGCCGCCGAACACCACCUCCCCGGCCUCCUCGUCCCCAACAAGCCGACGGCGAGCCCGUGCGCCUCCGUCAGCCGCCCCCGCAGCACCUCACCGAGCCGCCAGUCAGCCACCCCGGUCCCUACCUCGCCGCAGCGAACGCCGCACCUCGUCGUCACCACUGUCCCGAGGCCUUGCACCGCCGCCGGCCCCCUCCGACCACCCUCGGCCCAAACUCUCGCAUAAAAUCAUUACCCGGUGAUCCCCUCGUGCAUCCCCACCACUUUCCCACCGCCGGCAAGCUCUCCCCUCGCCGGAUUUUGGCCUCCACCGCCGCAGCCGCGCCCAGGGACUAUAUUGCAAAGAUCGAGCUUUUUCUAGGGUUCUUAGUGCAUAAAACAGGGACUUUUUGUAAGGCUAAAGUCUGUGUAAAUGUUGCGUAGAUCAGCAACUUUUGUAAAAUUAAUAUAAAAUCAUAAAAAAUGCAAACUAAUUUUUUUAUUCCAUGUGAGAUAUAGUUUCAUACAAAAAUGUAAAUGCUCAAGCUGCUGUUGUAUAUUUUUGCCUAUAAUUUACCUUGUGC
rnacentral:lncRNA from 1 species